UACGUAGGGUGCGAGCGUUAAUCGGAAUUACUGGGCGUAAAGCGUGCGCAGGCGGUUCGUUAUGUCCGAUGUGAAAGCCCCGAGCUUAACUUGGGAAUGGCAUUGGAAACUGGCGGGCUGGAGUGCGGCAGAGGGGGGUGGAAUUCCACGUGUAGCAGUGAAAUGCGUAGAGAUGUGGAGGAACACCGAUGGCGAAGGCAGCCCCCUGGGUCAACACUGACGCUCAUGCACGAAAGCGUGGGGAGCAAACAGG
rnacentral:rRNA from 1 species